GGAUGUGAGGGCGAUCUGGCUGUGACAUGUCACCCCAUUGAUCGCCCGGGUUGAUUUGGCUGAUCUGGCUGGCUAGGCAAGUGUCCCCUUCCUCCCUCACUGCUCCAUGUGUGUCACUUAUGAAGCUGUGUGCUUGGUCAAGAGGACAGCCUUCCCCGAAUAGAGACAGACGGGUCUUUGGUCGAGGGUAUACGAGUAGCUGCACUCCCCUGCUAGAACCUCCAAACAAGCUCUCAAGAAUUCAUUUCCACAUUUAUACAACAUGGUCAUAUCUGGAGAUCACUUGGGGUGUGCUGCUUUGGAAGAAGCACUCUCCCUUCUCUCU
rnacentral:snRNA from 1 species